UACGGGGGGGAGCAAGCGUUGUUCGGAUUUACUGGGCGUAAAGGGCGCGUAGGCGGUCAGCACAAGUCAGUUGUGAAAUCUCCGGGCUUAACUCGGAAAGGUCAACUGAUACUGUGCGACUAGAGUGCAGAAGGGGCAACUGGAAUUCGUCGGUGUAGCGGUGAAAUGCGUAGAUAUCGAGAGGAACACCUGCGGCGAAGGCGGGUUGCUGGGCUGACACUGACGCUGGAGGCACGAAAGCGUGGGGAUCAAACAGG
rnacentral:rRNA from 1 species